rnacentral:misc_RNA from 1 species
ACGCUGGGGUUUCACCAUGUCCCGUGCCAGGAGGACUUCCCCAUCAUGCCCACGGUGUCGUCCAGCUUCGACCUUAAGCCAGUGAACUUCUUUGAGAGCAACCCCAUCCUAGGGCAGCGUCCGACCCAGGAGAACGACCUGCCGGUGUGUGCCGCCGCUGCCACGACCUCUUGAGACGACAGCGGAUCACCGACAUGUGUGCGUGCAUGGUCGAUG